rnacentral:tRNA from 2 species
GGAUGUGUAACUCAACUGGAUCAGAGUAUUCGGCUCUUACCCGAAAGGUUGUGGGUUCAAAUCCCACCGCAUCCACCA